rnacentral:lncRNA from 1 species
UUAACUCUCUUCUUAAAAAUAGCUUUUAUUUUUAAUGAUAGAAGCAUUUAAUUAUGCAGGAGUGUAUAUUCAAAAUAUUAAUUUCUUAGUCAUAGUUUUUCAGCAAUGUAUAUAUGAAGCACCAUAAAUCUUUUUAAUAUCAAAAUAACAUCAUGUGUUUAGAAACAUUUGUUCGCAAUCAAGAUCAUUGAAAAAUACAUCAUUUAGACCAAUUUCAGUACACUUAUAAGAUAAAAAAUGAUAUGUUUCAGAUGCGUAUCGGAGCAAACAAUCAAGGUAUCAAAAUUAAUUCUAUUUUUCUUAAGCU